rnacentral:rRNA from 1 species
AGCCCUAAGUAUUGAUUCAGGGUGAUACCUGCCCAAUGAGAAAUUAAAUGGCCGCGGUACUUUGACCGUGCUAAGGUAGCAUAAUCAGUUGACUUUUGAAUGAAGUCUGGAAUGAACGGGGUAACGGAACUCAGCUGUCUCAUCCUUAUUUAAUGAAUUUACUAACUAAGUGAAAAUGCUUAGGAAAGAAAAAAGACGAGAAGACCCUAAGAGUUUACACAUUUUGUUGGGGCGACACAGGAUCAAUUAACAUCCUUGAUUAUAUGUCGGUCAUUUCAUGUGAAGAUAAACUACCUUAGGGAUAACAGCACUAUUCUUUAGAGUUUGUGACCUCGAUGUUGGACUAGGAAGCCUUGGGGCUAGGUGCCUCGAGUGGGGAUUCUGUUCGAAUUUUUACUCC